GUCAUAUACACUUUAAAGUAGGGAAGGAGAAGGAAAGAAUGGCCGCGAAAUCGCCUAAACUCGUGUACAUGGCCCCACACUAUUGUCGAUUUUUGGCUUUUAACUUAUUUUGUUCGAGUAAAAUCGGUAUAGCCGUGAAUGGACAUGUAUAACUCCAUAAAAAACAUAAAAUAAUCAAAGAGUUUAAAUUCGCAAUAGAAUACGGCGAAUGAACAAUAGCAUUUAGCCGAAAUAUAUCCGCAACUUAUUUCAUCUGUGCAAAAACCGGACAACGAAUUAAUAAAUAAAUUCAUAUAUUUUAUCCGUUGGGAGUGGGGGACAGUAAAAGAAUAAUUUGAAAAUUAAACAAAUUAACCGUCGGGGCAAAACAGAAACUAGCGCAAGCAAUACCGUGUUUCUGCUUCGUUUUAUAUGUCUGUUAAAACCUGGUAAACCUGUGGAGGUGUUAGUUUGUGUACAUAUAUCGCAUAAUUGGGAUUAGAAUAAGUAAUUUUACGUAGCGCGCGGCAACAAACUUUUAAGGCAUUGCAAUUAAAGUGCCACUGCGAUGGAAAAUUGCAUAUUAGUAGAAAAAAAAGUUACCAAAUAUCAGCGUCCAAUUCAAUUUCUUUCUGCCUUUUUUUCAACGCAAACAUGCAAAUUUUUCGGCCGCCAUUACUGAGUUAUCAAUUCGCGAG